GCACUCCGUCGAGCCCCCGCGCAGCCGUGCCGGAGCCGCAGGGCCUCCGUCCAGCCGCGCGGUCCGGGCAGCCCGCGCCCCCUGUUCUUCCGGUCCUCGGGCCCAGGUACCCCUCUGGACCUCCCCCGCCUGCAGCGCGGAGGCGGCUCCUCUUCAGGUGGCCGGGCCGGGGCCUUCCCCGGCAGACCUGUCACCCGACACCCAGGAAGCGCGCGGCCGGGUCCCGGCUCCCCUUUGUUCCCCCGCUGGGCUCGGCGCUCCGGCGCCGCCCCCUCUCGCGGGGCAGCGGAGGUUUGGGCCCGGGCCGGGCGCGCUUCAAGCUCCGUCCAUGCGGCUCUUUCCAAACCGGGGCCGUUUUUGCCUGGCUUCUCUGGUGUGGACUCCGCGCGGAGCUGAGAGGCGGCUGUGCGCCCAGCCUGGAGCCGGCGCAGUAAUUCCAACCUCUUAGCCAAGACCAGAGCUAAAAGGGCACCUUCAUCACACCGCCGACGUUGACCCCAGGCUGACAAAUGUGACCUGCUUCCGUUGGUCUUUGAAUCCUCAUUUCUAUUUGCUUUUCAACUUUAUUGUAUAUAUCUUUUAUGUAACUUACUUCAAGUUAUUUUGUAGGGAAAUGUGUAAAAAACCCCUGCUUUUUGGGAUCAUGAAAAUAUUUCAAAGUUAGAUUAUGGUGAUGGUUGCCCAACUUUGUAAAUAUACUAAAGAUCGUUCAAUGGUACGCUUUAAACGGAUGAACUUAAUGGUAUAUAAAUUAUCUCAAUAAAACGAUUUGAAAAAA
rnacentral:lncRNA from 1 species